rfam:Staphylococcus sp. HGB0015 genomic scaffold aczIz-supercont1.1, whole genome shotgun sequence.
AUUCAUCUUCGGGGUAGGGUGCAAUUCCCAACCGGCAGUAAAUUAAAGCCUGCGACCUGCAAAAAAUCAAAAUCUUGAUAUUUUGUGGCUGAUCUAGUGAAAUUCUAGAGCCGACAGUAAAGUCUGGAUGGGAGAAGAUGGAG